CCUACGGGUGACAGCAGUAGGGAAUCUUUCACAAUGGGCGAAAGCCUGAUGGAGCAACGCCGCGUGCAGGAUGAAGGCCUUCGGGUUGUAAACUGCUUUUAUAAGCGAGAAAUAUGAUGGUAACUUAUGAAUAAGGAUCGGCUAACUACGUGCCAGCAGCCGCGGUCAUACGUAGGAUCCGAGCAUUAUCCGGAGUGACUGGGUGUAAAGAGUUGCGUAGGUGGCAUAAUAAGUAGCUAGUGAAAUCUGGUGGCUCAACCAUUCAGACUAUUAGCUAAACUGUUAAGCUCGAGACCGUGAGGGGUAACUGGAAUUUCUAGUGUAGGAGUGAAAUGCGUAGAUAUUAGAAGGAACACCAAUAGCGAAGGCAGGUUACUGGGACGGUUCUGACACUGAGGCACGAAAGCGUAGGGAGCAAACAGGAUUAGAUACCCUUGUAGUC
rnacentral:rRNA from 1 species